rnacentral:rRNA from 1 species
GGCUUCUGUGAUACUUUCACACUGCGUGCGCGUAACAAACCCCUAAACAUGAAUAACCCAGUCAAGAAUCCAUAAGAAUAAAACUUUCAACAACGGAUCUCUUGGUUCUCGCAUCGAUGAAGAGCGCAGCGAAAUGCGAUACCUAGUGUGAAUUGCAGCCAUCGUGAAUCAUCGAGUUCUUGAACGCACAUUGCGCCCCCUGGUAUUCCGGGGGGCAUGCCUGUUUGAGCGUCGUUUCUAUCUCACGCAAGUGGAGCUGGCCCGGCCUUGGCCCCGCCGAAAAGAAACGAGGGCGAAGCGAACUAUGUUGUGCGCCGACCCCAGCUAUCAAGCUCGACCUCAAAUCAGGUAGGAAUACGCGCUGAAUUAAGCAUAUCA